CACAUUCGGGGCGCUUCGGCGCUCCUUAUACACCCACCCUCUGCCUACGUGUACCUCUAUAGCUUCCUCGGCGGGCUCGCCCGCCGCCAGGAACCCACGGAACCCCUUGCAUUAUACGCGAAAACUUCUGAUAACAAACCUAAAUUAUCA
rnacentral:misc_RNA from 1 species